AUGAUAAGUUAAUUGCUAUUUAUAUUAGGUUGCCAAGAGGCUUUCUACAGUAUGGUGGGCAGCAAAUGGAUGAAGUGCUAAUAUCUCAGUAGAUUUUACUUGUGUUUUGGGGGUUAAAUUCAUGUUGGGGUUUCUGAUAAUUGAGAUGCUGCUUUUGACAUUUCUUUACCACCUCUUAGUAUUUAAGAGUUUUUCCGUUUUAUGUAUACUAGGUUUGUCCAAUGAGUAAGUCUCCAUAUGUGGAUCCUCAUAAAUCAGGACAUGAAAUCUGGGAAGAAUUUUCGAUGAGCUUCACUCCAGCAGUGAAAGAAGUGGUGGAAUUUGCAAAGCGUAUUCCUGGGUUCAGAGAUCUCUCUCAGCAUGACCAGGUCAACCUUUUAAAGGCUGGGACUUUUGAGGUUUUAAUGGUACGGUUUGCAUCAUUAUUUGAUGCAAAGGAACGUACUGUCACCUUUUUAAGUGGAAAGAAAUAUAGUGUGGAUGAUUUACACUCAAUGGGAGCAGGGGAUCUGCUAAACUCUAUGUUUGAAUUUAGUGAGAAGCUAAAUGCCCUCCAACUUAGUGAUGAAGAGAUGAGUUUGUUUACAGCUGUUGUCCUG
rnacentral:sRNA from 1 species